GGGACAUUUUCCCAGAGGAUUUGACACUCCAUGUGACUAAAUGAGAGAUACUUGGAAGUUCCUGUUUCUGGUUCCGGGGAAGGCAGAGAAUCCAUGCAGCAUGGAGAACGGCCUGGGGUGACCUGAGCAUCUGGAAGGUCCAUUUUCAGUCUCCAGGCUGGGACUGCUGAGUGGCUAGUGGUGUCACUAAGUUACUAAAGAGGAUAGGGGUCUGUUAUUGGAUUUUCUCAUGUCAUAGCUAAUAGUGUCAGUAAAACAUAAAACAUAACUUAGACACUACUGUUAGAUGUACUUUUUUAAGUUGCUUUAUUGAAAAUUGCAUGUAUACUGCAUUGGUAUAGAUGGCCAGACCUGUAUGCAUGUGUGUGUGUGUGUAUGUUUGUCACCUUUUUUAGCCUGUAAAGGGUCACAAACCCUGAAGAACAAGCAUGCUUUUCUAAUAUUCUUAGUUGUACCUAUAUCUGUGUAUUCAGAACAAGAGUACGGUGUGGGCUUUUUGUGCCCAUGGAAGUGUCAAACCAGGUAUCAAUGGCCCAGGAAAUGCUGAGAAUCUCACAAGACAUGGCCAGUUAUUUAUUCUCUGGUGACAGAGUGUGGAAAGGGAUCAGCUUUCCUCUAGCCAGUCUUAGUCUCUGCUCAGGCGGAGAGUUGCAGUAUGGUUGAAACAAAUACUCUUUUCUCAUAUAUUCCACUCUAGCUUGUGCAAAAUCCUUCUAUCUGGCAGAAAGAGACAGAGAAUUCUUUGCUCGUGUUUUCCUGGGACUCACCCCAGUAACACUCCCUGGAAACUUUAUCUGCCAGGCCAUAUAAGAACACCGAAUAGCUUAGCAGAAAAGGAAACUGAUAUGAAAAGUGGACAAGAAAUUACCCAAAAAGGUCUUAUUUGAAUCCAAGCACCAAAAAAUGCAGAAAUGCACAAUUAACUGAUUUCCUAAUAUAUUAGGAAGUAACUCAGUCUCUGGCUACCUAAAAUUGAGUUAUACUAGGAGAAAAAUAAUAUCAACACUUAGUUUGCAUAAUGUGAUGUGCUUAUUAAGGAAGUCUACUGGAUAGUGAUGCUACACAAAAUAAAAUGUCCACAUUUCAACAUGAUCUGCUUUUAAGUUACAGAAACUAAAACUCAAUAUACUUUCUGUUGGCAUCUUAUAAAAAAGUUCUUACAGAACCUUAGCCUAAUAGGUCAGUACCAGCAGCACCAAUUUUGUGCAGUUCUCCUGAAAGCUUUCAGCAGUAAAUCUCUAAAAAUGUCCACUUAAGCAGUAGAGGUCAUAAAUAUUUCACGAGAGCAAUAAAACAGAACAGAAUUUUGGAAGUUAUAAUUUUAGUGGAUAUAACUGCACUUUAUAAAAGGAAGACCUCUGGGACCCAGAAUAAAUGCAAAACUCUGUCUGACUGAACUGCAGUACUAACCCAUCUGCAAGUGGUAAAUUAUCCCCAGUCCCAGGUGUGGUGCAUUAUACUCAGGGUGUCCAGUGAUUAAAGGUGAGAACGUGGCCAAAAUCCAAGGGAGCACUGAACAUUAAUGAUGGCUGGAAAUCAUCAACAAUUUCUCUGGAAGUUUGAUUAUUUUCUAUUUGUUCACAUUAGUCAGGCCCAAGAUUCAACAGAUUGUCUAUGAUCAGUUCCUGGUGUGUACAGAUACACCAGUGAAAGAAGCCCAGAGGCUCUUUGUUUGACCCGGAAGGAGUUCACAGAGAAAAAUAAAGUGAUAAUCCUGUUACCGAUAAUCCCUCAGGCUGCCAGAAAGACAGACAUUUACUGAAGCCUUUAUAUUAAAAUUCAACUGAUGAUUGCAAAGCAACAUAAAAAUGUCCUUACAUUUGUGCUUUCCCUGAUACAUCACUUGUUCUGUUUAGUACGCAUUUGCAUAAAGGUUCUUUUACAUUUAAAUCUGUAUCUGAGUGUUAGAAACUCCCCAAGUGCCAAGGUUAAGCUUAAUUUGAUUUCCUAAACUCUCCCACCAUCCCACCUCCCCAUACACUCAUGUGUACAUAAAGAGCUCUGUGGAUUUUAAAUGCGAGUGACUAUUAUUUCACAGUUACAUCCAUAGUUUUUGUUAACAUCUUUUAUACUUUCCACCAAGUUCUUCAAUUGUCUGUCCACUUGGCCCCAAACUAAUUUUAAUUGGCGUAGUCUAGAAAACUCAUAAUUACAAUAUUGAAUGAGGGUAGCAGGAAUAGAAAAGUUACAUCUGAAGAGCAGAUGAAAAAAAUGUUCAUGCAAGGCGGCCCAAGCUUCUGAUUUUUAAUCAACAUUUGAUUGUAAACUAUUAAAAUGCCAAAUCACUUGGCAAUAUUGUGCUAUGUCUUCACAGCUUAAAAUAGUCACUGUGAAAUUGUCAUUCCAUCCCAGUUUUCUCAUAUGAAAAUAAUAACACAUUGUACCUUUUGCUGUUGUUUCUAAUUUUUUGGUUUUUAUUAUUGUGUAACUGAAAUGUCAGCCUCUUGCAUCUAAGGGUCACCUUCUAGUUUAUUUGGAAAAUAAAGGGUAAG
rnacentral:lncRNA from 1 species